rnacentral:lncRNA from 1 species
AUCUUUAAUAAGGCUAAUAUGUGCACCUUUUGACUGUUUGGGAAUGAUCCUGUACCAAUUUGAUUUGAGAAAAGCAUCUCAGUAAUUGAUUUUUUAUUUUUCUUGCCUUACUUGGUUGACAGACAUCCCCUCACACGUUAAUUAUGGUAAAUUUAGAUACCUCUUCUUGAUUUCAUUUAAUAAGUAGGAAGGAUCUCUUUUUACUUGUUUUAUUGAUGGAAAUUUCAAAUGUUAUAAUAGGGUAUUAUAUAUUUAUGGCAACUAUAGUAUGAUUGGUGGAACGGAUUGAUUUACCCCAUCCAUUUAAGGGAACAAUUCCCUUAAUUGAUUCAUUAUAUGUUAUUCUUCUUCCAUUAAAUAUUAUUCUUACUUCAUUAUUUGGAAUUGUGGACGACCCUUCUCACUAUAUAAACUCACCAUUCUAUUUCUCUAAGAGGACAAACUUCUCCUUCGCUAUUACUCCCUCUAUUUUCUCUUAAAAGUACUUUGAAUUUCUUUGGCACUUUGGAUUUCGAAAAACAUUCGGUCUUGUCCUUGCUGCAAUUGCUUUGGGUUCUAUUAUUAUUGGUUGCUGCCUAAUCGGUUAGUCUCUAUCGACGCAUUCUUUUCUUAUUCUGUAGCAUUUGUGAUAGCAAAGCAUAGAAAGCAUUUCUAUAGGAACUUAUUUGAAAUAAUUAUGAUUAACUGUCAUAAAGAAGAUUAAAAAAAUAAAAGAAUAGCUUACUAGAGUGUACUAUAACCAGUUCUAGCUGUUUUCUUGAACAGUAGCACAUUUGGUGCAAGUUGAAGACAUUAUGGGUAUUGCUGUUUGUAUUUUCUUGUUCUGUGUUUGCUUUGUAUGACUGUGGUUUCUUGUGAAAGUUUUGUCAUAAUUGAACAUAGCUUAGGGUUUUACUUUUCAUAGCUAUUUUCUACUUUCUUUCUGAUAGUUUGUUGGGUUUUUGCUUUGUUUCUUGCAUGAAAAUGUAAGUUCUUUUUCCCCAUUUUCUUUUUUUGGGACAUGGAGGGUGAGUGAUGUGGUGGGCAGAGGGUCCAGUAGGGGGGUCUUUGGUUUAAUUGUUUCCAAAUUAAUGUGAAGAUAAUGUUUGAUAGAAUCUUAUUGGGAAGACAAAGUGUGUGAAUCACAUUCAGCAGAGUGGGAGAAAAGGUGAAGAAAUUUAAGAUAGGAUUUUGAAGGAUGAAUGAUAGCUUAGCUAGAGAAAUGAUUGAGAGACAACCUCAAAGGCCUUGUGGUUGUGUGGGCAUUUUCUUUCAGCUCUUUGAUCGGAACCGUAGAUUUGCCAAGAAGCUGUGUCCAAAGAAACUGCUUUCACCAGGUUAGCUACCACUACAUUCCACUCAUUUUUAAAGCAGAAUGGUUAAUUUCUUGAAGGUGAUUCUAGCUAGACGGAGAAAUUAUUUCUUUUUUUGUGCUGCAUUCUUAUAGGUUGCUUGAAACAAGAUUCAAAAAAGUUUGGAGGGGAUGAGAAGAAGCCAAAGCUUCGUUUGGUUCUCAUUUCUUGAACUAUACACCCACAUCUAGCUUUCUUUUUCUACUAUUGUCUCAGAUUUUAGCUGGACAGGAAAGUUUUUGGUUUUAUUGUUUUUGGUUCUUGUAUGAACAAUCUAGAUUGCUGAAGAGAACAGUGGGGGUUUUCCAAAUGCAAAGAAUAAUGGAAUGACCGAUACACGUUGUGAAAGCAAGCGCGAUGGGUUUGGAAUCGAUGCCAGCAGGAUUAGGCAGUAAGCCCCAAAAGGCUUCAGCUUCUGAAACUUGGAGCAAUGUGGCAGACAAACUUGGUGCUCGACCAGGCGGAUCUGAUAAAGAAGAGAUGGAUUUUGAGAUGGCCGAAAUAAAGAGUUCAGAACCAGGUUUGCAAAGGUUUAGGGCUAAAUGUGCUCUCACUUAUCCUACUAGAUAUUUUUCCUUUGGAAGAUGAAGCAGAUUUAGUUGGGAAUUCACUUGAUCACCAUUUAAGUGACAGCUACCUCUCCAGCAGUCCCAAUAGUAGCUCAAGUAUGGUCCCCGAUUCGACAUUUUACUAUUUGUACAUCCUUUCUUUCCCUCAAAUACAUAAAUUAAAAAAUAAGACAACUCUGAACUUGGAUUUCAUGAAUCCAUGCUUAUAAUAAAUAUGAUGCUUGUUUUCUUUCAGAGGAGAAAGUGCUUCCUGAAUCAGUGGACUCUGUUGAUGAUGAACCACUCUUUCUAUUUCCAGAACCUGAUAGAGAUCUUUCGGAUUGUGAGACCUCAUUAUCCACCAGGAGGAGUUGUAGAGAACUGAGUCAUAACGUUUCUGGAGUGCUCAUCAAGAUUGAUCAGUUAAAAUUAAGCAAACUCAGCUACGCAAAAUAUGUCAUUUUGAAUGCUGAACUCAUAUUUGCGAGUACACCUCAACAGUAGGCUCUAUCUGUAGAGGAUGGGUUCUCUGUGAGCCAUUUUCUCCUCAAUGAACAUGAAAUGUUUUCGAGUUUUCUGUGGAUGGCUUUCGGUGAGUUGCUUGGCUGUAAUGACCCAAAACAGAUGAAUCAUAUUAAACGAUUCGCCUUUGAUUGUCUAUUAGAGUACCUAGACUCAAAAUUUUCUCCAAUCUCUGAUUCUGGUUUCAGAACCUGUACCAAACUACCAUCAAGUAUGACCAAAGAGAUCUUGAUUGCUGAUAUUAUUGAUGAGGUCGAAGCGUGGACACAAUUUGUUGGUUUGAUCCCAGACGAGCUCAUAGAAUGGGAUAUGAGCCAUGUUUUGGGUAAAUGUACGGACUUCGAGAUUGAAGAAUAUGAAUGUGGCACUGAAGUUGCUAGGCAUAUUCUCCAAGAAUUAGUAAAUGAAGUUGUUUUAGACCUAUACAGUUCUAGCUAAAUUUGGUGGAACUGUUAGUAGCUCCUCUUUUUGAGACUUUGUUGCAAGCCUAUCAGUGCUGUUCUCAUGUGAUAACUCUUGACUCAAUAAUGUCAAGCAAAGUAUUUUGUACAAAUCAUUGAUUCUNNNNNNNNNNNNNNNNNNNNNNNNNNNNNNNNNNNNNNNNNNNNNNNNNNNNNNNNNNNNNNNNNNNNNNNNNNNNNGACCCAAAUUAUGUGUCGCCCGUCCCAAAAUAAAUUUCGUCUUUCCUUAUUUGGAAAUUUUUCAAAGGCACAAUUACCUUUUUACCUUUAUUGGAUCCACUUGAUUUUAAAUAUAUUAAUACUCCUUUUUUAGUAUUUGUUUUUUCAAAGUGAAAGCCUUAUCACUUCAAUCAAAAUUUAAACUUUCAGCCUUUUAUUUUUACAGUAUCAAAAUUAUUUUAAACCAUAGAGAGCAAUUUAUUCUUUUUGGUUGGGUAAACCAGUUUUCUUCGACAACUCAUUGUUCAUAUUACUGUGAUUUCUCAAGGAAAAAUUGGAUCUUUAAAGCUAAAGUUAAAGAAAACAAGAAUUUAGAGGGACCUCACUUUCCACAUAUAUCAUCUUAAAGUUUUUACUUUUGUAAGAACGAUACGGAUCUUGCUCAUGCUCUCCAGGAAGCAGGUAGUACCUUUCAACUUUUUUGGACAAAUAAAAUCACUUUUCUUCGAUAUGAACAUAAUUAAACAUACUCAUAAACAUGGGAUUUAUGUGGAUUGUAUUCUGAUCAAUCAUUGACAGGCAGUAUUGAAGUCGUACCUUUUUGUUUCCUUCGGUUAACUGAGGCUUGAUGGAAUUAGAAUGUGGUCGAAGAGUUCCAUCGUUCACACGCCGAAAGACGGUUAAUUUUGCCAUGUUCAUCGCAAAAGCCAGAGAUCGAAUAUUUGUUCGACGACAAAGUGGAAUUUCUUUGACUUGAUUAAUGUCGACUCCAAUCCAUUUUCAUCAAACUUUACCUGUAAGUCUUAAAGACACAUCUAAAGACGACAUACCAUUAUCAACUGAUGAUUGACAUUGUUUCCAAAUGCGCUAAAUAGUUCUUAUUGAUUUCUUGAACAACAUCGCAGCUUGUGUUAUAGAUCCGUAUAUAAGACUUCCUUCCUUACUUUCUUUCAAAAGAAACUUUGCAAUUGCUUAAAGUUCUUCUAAUUUCAAUCGUUUAUUUCUGAAGGUUGAGUCUAUAGGUACGACGAACCUCAUCUUUAGAGUAGUGGCAAAAAUAAGAGAGGAGAUAAAAGGAAGAAUUUGGAAAUUAUCCAAAACAAAAGAAAGGAUACAUUAACCAGAAGAUGCAAAAGAACAUCUCUCAAAUGAAAAGAAGAUUUGGCGCCACAAAAUAACCAUUUGCUAAAAAUUCAAAUGAAAACUAGGUUUAGCGCCCAAAAUUUGAAACCAAAAUCAAUUCAAAAACGUAAAUUUUUCGUGGAAAAUCCGUACAUGACGGCAAAUUGGUCCUAUUUUCUAGAAAAUUGAAUUUUGCAAUAACAAAUUUUUCUUAAUUGUUGAUAGAGAAAAUGAGAGUAAAAUUUUAAAUUAAAGCGAUACAUUGAUUUGGACUACUCAACUCUUUGAAAAAGAGAGAGACAGUUAUGUAGGUGGUGUAUUUUUUUCGUAGUUUUUUUUUUAAUACUGUACUCUCUAUUGCAUUUUUUUAAUUAUUGUGAAAUUUAAUAAAAGUACCUAGUGGUCCAAUACUUUUUUAAGAGGGGUAAUUUAGUAACUUUAGCAAGGUUAGUGCCUAUUUCUUAAAUAUCUUGUCCGGUCAAAUGGCGACAUAUAAUUUGAGACGGAGGGAGUAUUAUGAUAUUCAAUGUCCAUCAAUCCAUAAGCAAAUUACUUUCUAUAGUUCCUAGUAGGUUACAAUGAGUCGGUCCGAUUCAAACCUAUUGCUCUAUACAACUCUUAAGACAAACUUAUAAUAUCAAUGUUCCAUAAAUAGAAAAUUUAAAUCAAAAAUCAAUCUUUAGAACAAGUAAAAAGGACCAAAGGAUGGCAAAAAUUAAUUAGUAUCGCAGAACAAGAAGAUAUCCAAAGGAUAUUUGAAUUAGUUAGUAUCAUAGCAAUAUUAACUACAGAUCUAGAGAAAAUAGAUUAAAACUUGAAUUAAUUAAUUUGUAUAAUAGAUCAAUAAUAAUAACAGAUUUGAAAUAAAAGAAUUAAGGCUUGAAAUAGUUAGCAUCAUGUAUCAUAUAUAUAAUUAAAAUCAAAUGAAAACUUGCUCGAAAACUUGCUCCACCAUCAAAGAUGCACUUAGCAAAAAUGAAUCAUGAUGGACUAAUAAAAAUGGAGAUUAAGAACAUGAAUUUUUCUUGAAACUUGUGUUUUGGUGUCAAGGUGAGCAGGGAAUACAGUGGAGAAAAGGAAAAACAGAGAAAAUGAAGAUAAAAGAAGAUUUUAGGAAACUAAAACAAUAGAGGCAAAAGACACGGUAAAGUGUCAUUGAUUGUAGGUUUUAGUUACCAAAAUGCCCUUACUGUUGGUGUUGUUAACGAAAAUAUCCUCAAAUAAGACAAAAUAGUAGUAACUAAAGUCUUCAUUUAUAUAAAAGAUUAAAAUAUAAUCAUUAUUAUUUUUAAAAAAUGUAUAAAUUUUAGUAACUAAAAAUAUAAUAGUGAAAUUACUUUUAACCUUGCAAGAGUAAAGAAUUUAUUAAGGAGUGUGUCCAAUUCAAAUGGGGUAAAUAGAAAAGAUUGAAAGGUUUAUUCAACUAUUUUACAUUGAGUCCACUUAAUUCAUUGAUACUUUAGACAAUACUUCCACAAUAUUCAUAAUAAAUGAAUUGUUUAGAUAUUGUUGAUAUUUAAGGUGAUUUAAUUGUUUCAAUAAUAAUAUUGAAAUUUUUAUUUAUUCUUAUACUUCGUUUUUGCAUUUCUUAUAUCAUGAAUUUAAGAAAUUUAAUUGUUCCUAUUUAUUUAUUGUUUUGAAUUAGUUUUUUAAAAGUCAGUAUUGGAAGCCAAUUUUGACACUGUGAGGUUGACACCCAAUUUUGACCUCCCGACACUACAUUUAGUAUGUUAUUUUAACAAAAUCGUUAAUUUUUCAAUAUUAGUAUUUUUGCAUAUUUUCUUGCACCAAACAGAUUUUCGACAUAUCGCAUUCAUAAUUUAGAAAAUGCAUAAAUCAUCAAUUAUCUUUUAGAAUCAUAUUUUUAUAAUGAUAUUUUUGUAAUUUUAUUAAUUAAAUUAUUUUCACGUAAUUAUGCACACUCACAAUUUUGCAAAAUACAUUGUCUAGUUUUGCUUUAUUUAAUACUAUUUAUUGAUUUAUUAUUUAAUUACUAUUAUCAGAUAUUAUUAUUAUUCCUACUUUAAUUUAAAUAACAGCCUAAUCAAAAUUACAUUGCAUGAUUUUGUUUACCUUUUAAUCCAAUUUUAUUUAAUUUCUUACAAUUAUACCCUAUUUUUACCCAAUCCAUUACAAUCUUAACCUAAUUUCUUACAAUUUAAGCCAUUAUUUUUCAGUCUAGCCACAUUUUAAUUCCCCAUUACAUUAAAUCUCAGUUGUCAAUCAAAAAUCAAUCCAAAGCCGUCUAUCAAAAACCAAUCCAACGAUUGACAUCAAAAGAUCUCUCUUACCCUAUUUCAAACCUACAAACCCUAACUCAAAUUUUUUUCCCCAACUUCCAACUCUAUCUCUCCACCUCUCUCUUCUCUCUCUCUACAAACACCUCCAAAUCUCGAUCUCCCCCCUCCACUGAUCUCUCCGUCUCUAAUCGACCACCAAAACCACCCCUUCCGCUCCGAGUCCUCGUCGCCAUGUCGCCAUCUCCGGCGAACAGCCUUCGCCGUCACCUCUUCCUUCUUCUCCAUACGUGUCGCCAGCUCCUACCCCAGGCGAGUCCAGCCGCUGCUCCGAUGGCUAGCAUCCUCCCUUCUCACCUUCCACCGGUGAACAGCGCCGCCAUAGACGGAGACGGCCAGCCAAGCCUCCACACGGCCGCUCCAUCCUCCAUCCUCCAGUCGCCUUCUUUCUCCCCUCUGGCCAACGUCCAACAGCCGUGACAUAACCUCGACUCCUCUCCCACAGCGAUACCUCCGGCAAACCCCUUUGGCGUUCCAACCAUUCAACCCUUCCUCAUCAAAAAUGAAGAAUCCGUCUUCAGGUUGGAUCUCGUGUUCGAAAUAUGUGUGUGUACUUUAGUACUAUUUCUUCAUCUGUGUCUCUCAUAAGUGUGGCCACGUUUGAUUUUUGCUGAAUAAAUGCGUUGAUUUUAAGUCUGUGAUUUUUAUUCGACCCUAUUUGCAUGUCCUGCUUGAUUGAAAUUUUGUGACGCUUAACUUGAAUGGUGAGUCAAUUUGUUCGUCUCUCUCUGGUAUGUGCAAACAUGCCUAACUUCUUGCAACUUCACAUUUUUAUGCCUCUUAGUCAAUAUGGGUAAUUUUGUAUGGGAAAAGCAUGUAUGUGACGAUUCAAGGAUUUUAUCGUAAAUCUUUAAUAAGGCUAAUAUGUGCACGUUUUGACUGUUUGGGUAUGAUCCUGUACCAACUUGAUUUGAGAAAAACAUCUUAGUAAUUGAUUUUUUAUUUUUCUAGCCUUACUUGGUUGACAGACAUCCCCUCACACGUUAAAUAUAGUAAAUUUAGAUACCUCUUCUUCAUUUCAUUUAAUAAGUAGGAAGGAUCUCUUUUUACUUGUUCUAUUCAUGGAAAUUUCAAACGUUAUAAUAGGGUAUUAUUUAUUUGUGGCAACUAUAACAUUAUUGGUGGAACGGAUUGAUUUACCCCAUCCAUUUAAGGGAACAAUCCCCUUAAUUGAUUCAUUAUAUGUUAUUCUUCUUCCAUUAAAUAUUAUUCUUCCUUCAUUAUUUUGGAUUGUCGACGGCCCUCCGCACUAAAUAAACUCACCAUUCUCUUUCUCUAAGAGGACAAACUUCUCCUCCGCUAUUACUCCCUCUAAUUUCUCUUAAAAGUACUUUGAAGUUCUUUGGCACUAUGGAUUUCGAAAAACAUUCGGUCUUAUCCUUGCUGCAAUUGCUUUGGGUUCUAUUAUUAUUGUUUGGUGCCUAAUCGGUUAGUUUCUAUCGACGCAUUCUUUUCUUAUUUUGUAGCAUUUGUGAUAGCAAAGCAUAGAAAGCAUGUCUAUAGGAACUAAUUUAAAAUAAUUAUGAUUUUGAUUUUUUCACGGUCAUAAGAAGAUUAAAAAAAAGAAAAGAAUAGCUUACUAGAGUGUACUAUAACCAGUUCUAGCUGUUUUCUUGAACAGUAGCACAUUUGGUGCAAGUUGAAGACAUUCUGGGUAUUGCUGUUUGUAUUUUCUUGUUCUGUGUUUGCUUUGUUUGACUGUGGUUUCUUGUGAAAGUUUUGUCAUAAUUGAACACAACAUAGGGUUUUACUUUUAAUAGCUAUUUUCUACUUUCUUUCUGAUAAUUUGUUGGGUUUUUGCUUUUUUUCUUGCAUGAAAAUGUAAUUUCUUUUUCCCCAUUUUCUUUUUUUGCGCCAAGGAGGGUGAGUGAUGUGGUGGGUAGAGGGGCCAGUUGGGGGUUCUUUUGUUUAAUUCUUUCAAAAUUAAUGUGUAGAUAAUGUUUGAUAGAAUCUUAUUGGGAAAACAAAGUGUGUGAAUCACAUAGCUCAGCUAGAGAAAUGAAUGAUAGUUUAGCCACUAUUACUGAAAGACAACCUCAAAGGCAUUGUGAUUGUGUGGGCAUUUUCUUUCAGCUCUUUGAUCGGAACCGUAGAUUUGCCAAGAAGCUGUUUCCAAAGUAACUGCUUUCCCUAGGUUUGCUACUACUACAUUCCACUCAUUUUUCAAGCAGAAUGGUUAAUUUCUUGAAGUUGAUUCUAGCUAGAGGGCUAAAUUAUUUCCUUUUUUGUGCUGCAUUCUUAUAGAUUGCUUGAAACAAGCUUCAAAAACUUUGGAGGGGAUGAGAAGCAGCCAAAGCUUCGUUUGGUACUCAUUUCUUGAACUAUACUCCCACAUUUAGCUUUCUUUUUCUUCUAUUGUCUCAGAUUUUUACCUGACAGGAAAGUUUUUGUUUUUAUUGUUUUUGGUUCUUGUAUGAACAAAGUAGAUUGCUGAUGAGAAUAGUGGGGGUUUUCCAAAUGCAAAGAAUUAUGGAAUGACCGAUACACGUUGUGAAAGCUAGCGCGAAAUGAAAGCUCCAAGUUUUGUUGCUAGGCUCAUGGGUUUGGAAUCGAUGCCAGCAGGAUCAGGCAGUAAGCCCCAAAAGGCUUCAGCUUCUGAAACUUGGAGCAAUGUGGCAGACAAACUUGGUGCUCGACCUGGCGGAUCUGAUAAAGAAGAUAUGGAUUUUGAGAUGGCCGAAAUAAAGAGUUCAGAACCAGGUUUGCAAAGGUUUAGGGCUAAAUGUGCUCUCACUUAUCCUACUAGAUAUUUUUCCUUUGGAAGAUGAAGCAGAUUUAGUUGGGAAUUCACUUGAUCACCAUUUAAGUGACAGCUACCUCUCCAGCAGUCCCAAUAGUAGCUCAAGUAUGGUCCCCGAUUCGACAUUUUACUAUUUGCAUACUUCCUUUCUUUCCGUCAAAUACGUAAAUUAAAAAAUAAGACAACUCUGAACUUGGAACACCUCAUACAAUGUAUCUCACUACCGAAACUAUGAGGAGAACUAUUCAAUUAGACAAAAAUCUAGCAAGUACGAGAUAUUGAAUGUAUGUAUUAUUUUGAAUUGCUUUAUAUUGCAUAAACGCGAUGUUCCUUAGUUGAGGUUUUUGUUUGUACCUUUGUUGUUUCGUGAUGUACUUAACGAACUUGUUGUAACACCCCGUAUUCAAGUACGUGUAUUGGCGUAUUCAAGUACGUGUAUUGGUCCUAUUUAUAUGGAAUUAAUUUUUAUUUAUUUAUACCAAAAUUUGCCCGUAGAUGGUUCCGUACAAAGGUUAUUGAAAAAGUUUCCAACGAUACAAAGAUUUCCAAAAACGGAUAGGUUUCGGAUAUAAUCGAGCACGUUCGAAACUAUAAAACGGUGGCCGGGAUAUUUGGGACUAGUAAAUGUGCAGGAAAAUUUCCUGCACACAAACUACUGAGGCCAGCCGAAUUUUUUGGUCAAAUUUGAACGAUUAUAACUACCUUAAUAUAAUGAAAUGGGAGAGAUGCGACCUAUGAAAAGAAAUAUCUUUUAGUCUUCUUUCCAAUGCAAUUGGUUUCAUCCAAAUCCAAAGUCUGAGUAAGGAGUUAUACUUGUUUUACUUUGGCCUAUCCAAACAGAUUUUUAGGGUCAACUUCAAAUGACCAUAGCUCCUUGUACAGGACGAACUGGGUGGCCUACUUUAUAUUAAAUAAAAUCCAUUUGAAUUAUCCUCCAACGAUACCAAUUUCACCCAAAUCCGAUAUCAGAGCAAAGAGUUAUGGUCGAUCUACUUUAUCAUAUCAAAACAGUCCACCAAAGGACAGAUUUGACAUUAUUUAAAUUUUAAAGGCAUUUUGGUCAUUUCCUAUUAUAUUAUGGACGGGAAUAUGUGUAUAUAUACAUGUAUUAGAGUUCAAAAACUCAUUUUAAUCGUCAAUCACUGAGAAAGAACAAACCCUAGCCAAAUUUGACCUUUAAAUUACUUUUGAUUCAACCGUAGAAAUUCCAAAGUAAUCCGAUAACUGCGUUUGUCAUCUCGAGAGCUUCGAACGGCUCCUAUUAUUUGUGGAAACAGGAUUGGAUAAUCAAGAGGUGAAUUCUAAGGUAUGCAUAUUGUUUGCCUUUAUUCUUUUCCAUAUGUAUAUGUGUGAUAGAGGAUUAUAUGUAUUGGUUGUUAUUGAAAGGUGAUGGAAAUAGGGUUAUGGACUAUGUUGCAUGGUUUGGUUGUAUUUAAUUGUGUAAGGUGGAUAUGGUAAUUGAGUUAUGGCAGGUGGAUAUGGUGAUAUACUAUUGAAUUGAUGAUUAUUUAUGUCGAGGGCUCAAUUUGGUUUAAUGGAUUGGUUGGAAGGAUAAAUGAAUCCAAACUUGAUAUUGGAGGAUGUUGUAUGAAUAUGCAUGGCAUGUGAAUGUAAUUGGAGUAUAAGAGGGUUAAAGUGACACCCUUUAUGGUGUAAUUAAGGCUUACUACUUAACCACUAGUUUGGUGAAUUCAAAUAAUUGAAUUGUGACGUUUGGUCGCUAAUACUAGAUUGCUAUAUAUGUUCAUUGUAGAUAAGUAAUCCGAAAAGACGAGAAGUCCAUUUGGGACUAGUAUUGAAGGUUGACAGUCAGGUAUGUAAAGCAUACUCUAUACCAUAUCUUUGGCAUGAAAGUGAACAAUUGUUCUAUUAAGAAAGUUUCCAAAGUUAUUCAGUAACAUGUGAUCCAUAAUGGUUUUGUAUGAUGUCCUACGUUACCAAUGAACUUGUUUCCACUCUACAAGAUGUAAAGACAUUCCCAUACUUACUUGUUUUCCAAAUCUUACAUGUUUAUUGCACUAAUGAAUGUCAGAAGGUAUCCGGUUACUCAAACAAGAUCCAUGUGCUAUUAAUGACUCCAAAACGUUUCGUUGAUAUACUAAUAAGUUCCUACUUCAUUGUUAUGGCAUUGAUGACUCCAAAACACUUCAUUGAUGUGCCAAUGAGUUCUUACUUCAUCAUUAUUCCAUUGAGGGUCUAUUUAUAUGUCUCUUAUUGAUGUAUCAUUGUUACAAAGUAUCAAAAAUGCGGCGGCGACCGAAAUAACAAUCUCAAAAAUUCAUUGAACUAAGUGAUGGAAGUUCUCUCUUAUUGGAUGGUAUCCCAGGGACAUAAGCCUAUCAUGGGUUGAUCCCUAUUUAUGUGUUUAUGUGUGGUAUCCCAAGGGCAUAAGCCUAUCAUGGGUCGAUCCCAGUUGAUAUGUACUGGAGGCAGCCAAAUGGUCACAGUAUAGUACAGUAAUGAUUACAAAGAUGAUAAGAACNNNNNNNNNNNNNNNNNNNNNNNNNNNNNNNNNNNNNNNNACAAGUUCUAGUAAGUGUGGUCCACUCCUAUUACGAUUUAUUCACUUGUUUCUAAUUUUUAUUGAGCUCCUAUAUCAUAUGUGAUUUUAUACAGCUUUACAUACUCAGUAUAUAUUUUGUACUGACGUCCCCCACAGGGGACCUGCAUUUCAUGCUGCAGGCACAGGUACUUCAGCUCAUACACCGCACAAGUAGGAGUCAGGAUAUCCAGCUGGUUUUGGUGAGCUCCAGUUUGCUUCGGGGCUUUCCGUGUCAUGUCCAGUCACUUUUGGUAUUGUAUAGAAGUUAGUUAUAUGGCGGGGUGUGUCCUGACCUUAGUUAAACUCUGUGUAUUGUAUAGAGGCUUUGUAGACCUAAUGUACAGUCAAGGUGAUGUUUCGUUAAUAGAUGUGAUGGCUCCAAUUGCCAAGUAUUGUAUAUACAUAUAUAUAUGUGUGCUCGAGCUUAUACAAGUGAUUAUUUCCUUUUAUAUACGAUAUGAUGCUGUCCGAAUUUCGAGUUGUCAUAGAGGUAUGCAUGGGAAGUAUAAGGUGAUGAGCUGGUUCUCCUGGGCCUCCUCGGUUAUGGUUCCAGUACGCCCCAAUAGGAUUUGAGGCGUGACACUUGUGAUGUUGAACUUGACUUGUAAACUACAGAAAUGGAGUCAUCUAAAGAGACAGGUUGUCGAGCUCCAGAAGACCCCGUCCUCUGCAUCAACGACUGUGAUGUUUUCGGUAGUGCAACUACGAUGAGUAUGUGUUCCAAGUGUCAAAAUGACAUAAUACUACUGAAGUAGGAACAUGCAAAUCUUACAGCUGCAUUCAACAAAAAUGUCGUAUGCAGAAGCUCAAGCAGCGAUGAAUCAGAACUUGCUCUUGCAGGUGCGGCGGUUGCAUCUGCAGAUUUUGCCUCUCAUAUUUCACAAGUGAACUCAAAAGAAGGUUUGAAAAAGUGCACAGCUUGUCAUAAGCAUGUGGGAUUAACGGGGUUCAGUUGCAAAUGUGGUGAUCUAUUUUACGCAGUUCAUCAUUAUUCAGACAAACACAACUGCCCGUUUGAUUAUAGGAAUGCUGGUCAGAAUGCAAUAGCAAAAGCAAAUCCUAUCAUCGUAGCAGAAAAGCUUAAUAAGAUCUAACAAGCACCUAUCGAAAGGUUGUAUGAACUGAAGCAAUGUCCAUAUUUCGAUGUGUAGGCCUCGUCUUACCGGGUGAUGAUGAAAGUUUUGCAUGGGGGUGGGGGUGGGGGGUACCCUAGAGCCUAGAUAAUCAUGCUGUGUAAGUUAUUUAUGAUCUUGGUGCACAUUUUCAUGGAAUUUGUUCUUGUUUUGUCCCAAUUUCUGGGCUGCUUGUUUAGUAUAAUAUGCAUAAUGUAGGUCAUCUUGAUGAAUUUCACAUUCAUACAUCUGCGUUUUGAAAUCCUGAAUUUGCCUCCGUGCAUUCUUCAAGAUUCCAAAGUCUCCUUUGAGUAUCAAUAAUGUAGAGUUUUUUUUUGUGGAGAUGUCGAUACGGGUUGGCUCAGCUUAUCCGAGCUAGCCCAGACGGGCUUUGAGUUUGACAAGUCAGGUUGGGCUAGCCUAUCAAAAUGAUGAGCCAAAAAAUAUCAAGCCCACACUAUUACUAUGUGGGUUGCGGGCCUUACGGGCCAGUCCACUUUCAAAAAAUAAUAUUUUAUAAUUUAAUUUUAGAAUGUUAAUAGACAUAAAUAUUAUCAAUCAAUAUUACAUAGUAUUAAAUACUUUUUAAUUAAGUCUCCAACACACCCCAAAAUACUCAUAAUAACAAAAUUAAAUAACUUUUGACAUAAUAUCAUUUGAACCAAAUAAAAAUACUAAUAAGCAAUCUAAAUAAUUGCAUGUAAGACGACUUUGUACGGGACAAGAAAAAUUAUAAAGAAAGGAGUCAUCGUUCAAUAGGCAAAGGUCACUCGGAGAAACCAAAAUAUAAAUCUUCUCGGGAUCAUGAUUACCAAUCUUAUUCAUCACGAGAGAAGAAUUGUAAUAGACACCAUUAGCUUAGAGCAGCCUGGCAAGAUGUUACCAUGCCCAAUAUGUUCUCUUUAUGGAGUGUAGCUACUGCUCUUUGCAUAAUAGCUGAGGGUGCCCCCUUUAUUAGUGAAACUGUACCACACCCUUUUGCAUAAACCAAGGUCUCUCAUAAUCGCGACAUUGAUUUCAACUAUUUUCAUAUAGUUCCCCUGAACAAUUAACAUCCCCAUGCUGUACAAAUAUAUUUGGUCUGCACAAACUAUUUAACAUUCAAUUAAUUAUUCUCGAAAUAGAUUUCCUAGUUUAAAAAUAAAAAUUCAUACAAAUGUGAUGGUAUGACUCCCACGUCCCUUUUCUCCUUCCUUCAAUUUACGCAGCCCUAUAUUAUGUGAUAAGAAAGUAAGAAACAAAUAGAAGGAUAAAACAACAAUAAAGCUAGAAAAAAACGUGUAAGUUUAUAUAAGCUUGUGGGACUUAUAUCAUUGUAAGUAGACUUAUUCAUGAGUACAAAAAAUACAUUAUGAUCACCAUGUCGGUACACAAAAAUAGUACUCCUAACAUAUUAGACAAAACAUCAUUGUAAAAGUUACAUGAUGAUCACUACGGCUAUACACAAAAGUAGUACAGUACUUCUACAUACUACUUGAAAAAACACCAUUCCAACUUCAAAAUAAAGAGCUUUACCAUAAUAAUAACCUAUAUCAUUGUUGAAGUAGAGCCAAAUCUUUAUUGAUGAUAUCAAUAUCACAAUGAAGUUGGAGACGAAGGUUUUCUUCUCUUUCUAGUCCAUCUUUGUUCAAAUGAGGCACUUUGUAAUUAUUGUCGCCACUAUCUUUCAUCACCUCAAUCAUACAAGACUGUAAAGUAAGAAAUACAUGAUUGAGUUGUUUCGCUUUCAUUUCAUCAAAAGAUCUUUCCACUACUUCAACUAAUUCAUCAACAUUUUUAGGGACCUUUUGAUAUUGAAGACUUUGGAUUGCUCUAAAAAAACCAAGAUCUAAAACAUUUAAAUCAGGACUAUUCGAUGGUUGAAAACACAAUCUAAUGUCAAAUCCAUCUUGUCGGGCAGCUUCAAUAAAUUCCAAAUCAUUGUUACCAAUAUGUAGCCUUGCAUUAUCUUGUUGUAAAAAGAUAGGAUUAUUUGAAUCGGAAGCUGGCCAUUUUGCUCUAAUAGCAGGAAGAACAUUCUCUAUCAAGCAAGCUCUAGUGAUAUCUUUAGUUACUGACUGAAUGGGCUUUGUUUCCAUAGUUCCUGCUGUUCGAUUUUUGCUAUUCCGCUUAGCUGGUUCCUUAACUAUAAACGAAAAAAUACCUAUUUUUCCAGAAAACAACUCAAUUCCAUUUUAAUCAAAUCGAGGACGUGCUACAACAGCCAUAAACAUAACCUUUGGAAUAAAAUUUUUACUUUUGUAAGAAUGAUACGGAUCUCGCUCAUGCCCUCCAGGAAAGCAGGUAGUACCUUUCAACUUUUUUGGACAAAAAAAACCACUUUUCGUCGAUAUGAACGUAAUUAAACAUAUUCAUAAACAUGGGAUUUAUGUGAAUUGUAUUCUGAUCAAUCAUUGAGAGGCAGUAUUGAAGUCGUACCUUUUUGUUUCCUUCGGUUAACUGAGGCUUGAUGGAAUUAGAAUGUGGCCGAAGAGUUCCAUCUUUCACACACCGAAAGACGGUUGAUUUUACGUUAUCGCAAAAGCCAGAGAUCGAAUAUUUAUUCGACGAUAAAGUGGAAUUUCUUUGACUUGAUUAAUGUCGACUCCAAUCCGUUUUCUUCCAAAUUUAAGAAAUUUAAUUGUUCCGAUUUAUUUAAUGUUUUGAAUUAGCUUUUUAAAAGUCAGUAUUGGAAGCCAAUUUCGACACUGUGAUGUUGACCCCCAAUUUUGACCUCCCAACACUACAUUUAGUCUGUUAUUUUAACAAAAUCGUUAAUUUUUAAACAUUAGUAUUUUUGCAUAAUUUCUUGCAUCAAACAGAUUUUCGACAUAUCGCAUUCAUAAUUUAGAAAAUGCAUAAAUCAUCAAUUAUCUUUUAGAAUUGUGUUUUUAUAAUAUUAUAAAAUUAAAAAUGGCGUUUUUAUAAUUUUAUUAAUUAAAUUAUUUUCACGUAAUUAUGCACACUCCCAAUUUUGCAAAAUACAUUGUCUAGUUUUGCUUUAUCUAAUACUAUUUAUUGAUAUUAUUAUUUAUUGAUAUAGUUAUUAUAUAUAUUAAUAUUAUUUAUUAUUUAUCAUUUAUUAUUAUUAUUUAUUGUUUAAUUAUUAUUUUUUUCAUUAUUAGUAUUUAUCUUUUAUUACAUUUUUUAUUAUUUAUUAUUUAAUGUUGUUAUUUAUUAUGUAAUUACUAUUAUCAUAUAUUAUUAUUAUUCCUACUUUAAUUUAAAUAACAUCCAAUUUUGUUUAAUUUCUUACAAUUAUAGCCUAUUUUUACCCAAUCCAUUACAAUCUUAACCCAAUUUCUUACAAUUUAAGCCAUUAUUUUUCAUCCUAGCCACAUUUUAAUCCCCCUAUGACAUUAAAUCCCAGCCGUCGAUCCAAAACCAAUCCAACGGUUGACAUCAAAAGAUCUCUCAUUCCCUAUUUCAAACCUACAAACCCUAACUCAAAUUUUUUCCCCAACUUCCUCCUCUAUCUCUCCACCUCUCUCUUCUCUCUCUACAAAUACCUCCAAAUCUCAAUCUCCCCCUCCUCUCCUCCGAUCUCUCCGUCGCUAAUCGACCACCAAAAUCAUCCCCUCAGCCCCAAGUCCUCGUCGCCAUGCUGCCAUCUCCGGCGAACAGCUUUCACCGUCACCUUUUCCUUCUCCUCCAUACGUGCCGCCAGCUCCUACUCCAGGCGAGUCCAGCCGCUGCUCCGAUGGCCAGACCCCUCCCUUCUUGUCCUCCACUGGCGAACAGCGCCGCCAUCAACGGAGAUGGACAGCCAAGCCUCCAUGCUGCAGCUCCAUUCUCCGUCCUCUAGUCGCCUUCUUUCUCUCCUCCGGCAAACGUCCAAAUGCCGUGAAACAGCCUCAACUCCUCUCAGACAGUGAUACCUCCGGCAAACCCCUUCGGCAUUCUAGCCAUGCAACCCUUCCUCAUCGAAAAUGAACAAUCCAUCUUCAGGUUUGAUUCGGUGUUCGAAAUAGGUGUGUGAACUUUAGUACUAUUUCUUCAUCUGUGUCUCUCAUAAGUUUGGCCACGUUUUAUUUUUGCUAAAUAAAUAUGUUGAUUUUAAGUCUGUGAUUUUUAUUCGACCCUAUUUGGAUGUCCUUCUUGAUUGAAAUUUCGUGACGCUUAACUUGAAUGGUGAGUCAAUUUGUUCGUCUCUCUCUGGUAUGUGCAAACAUGCCUAACUUCUUGCAACUUCACAUUUUUUAUGCCUCUUAGUCAAUAUGGGUUAUUUUGUAUGGGAAAAGCAUGUAUGUGACGAUUCGAGGAUUUUUUCGUAAAUCUUUAAUAAGGCUAAUAUGUGCACGUUUUGACUGUAUGGGUAUGAACCUGUACCAAUUUGAUUUGAGAAAAGCAUCUCAGUAAUUGAUUUUUUAUUUUUCGGAUUUUUUCGUAAAUCUGUAAUAAGGCUAAUAUGUGCAUGUUUUGACUGUUUGGGUAUGAUCCUGUACCAAUUUGAUUUGAGAAUAGCAUCUUAGUAAUUGUUAUUUUUCUUGCCUUACAUGGUUGACAAACAUCCCCUCACACGUUAACUAUGGUAAAUUUAGAUACCUCUUCUUGAUUUCAUUUAAUAAGUAGGAAGGAUCUCUUUUUACUUGUUCUAUUCAUGGAAAUUUCAAAUGUUAUAAUAGGGUAUUAUUUAUUUAUGGAAACUAUAGCAUGAUUGGUGGAACAGAUUGAUUUACCCCAUCCAUUGAACGGAACAAUCCCCUUAAUUGAUUCAUUAUAUG